rnacentral:rRNA from 1 species
UACGGAGGGUGCGAGCGUUGUCCGGAAUCAUUGGGCGUAAAGCGCACGUAGGCGGCGAUUCAAGUCAGAGGUGAAAGCCCGGGGCUCAACCCCGGAACUGCCUUUGAAACUAGAUUGCUAGAAUCCUGGAGAGGUGAGUGGAAUUCCGAGUGUAGAGGUGAAAUUCGUAGAUAUUCGGAAGAACACCAGUGGCGAAGGCGGCUUCCUGGACACUAACUGACGCUGAGACGCGAAAGCGUGGGGAGCAAACAGG